CCUACGGGCGGCUGCAGUGGGGAAUAUUGGACAAUGGGCGAAAGCCUGAUCCAGCCAUGCCGCGUGUGUGAAGAAGGCCUUCGGGUUGUAAAGCACUUUCAGUGGGGAAGAAAGCCUUGGGGCUAAUACCCUCGAGGAAGGACAUCACCCACAGAAGAAGCACCGGCUAACUCCGUGCCAGCAGCCGCGGUAAUACGGAGGGUGCGAGCGUUAAUCGGAAUUACUGGGCGCAAAGCGCGCGUAGGCGGUCUGAUAAGCCGGUUGUGAAAGCCCCGGGCUCAACCUGGGAACGGCAUCCGGAACUGUCAGGCUAGAGUGCAGGAGAGGAAGGUAGAAUUCCCGGUGUAGCGGUGAAAUGCGUAGAGAUCGGGAGGAAUACCAGUGGCGAAGGCGGCCUUCUGGACUGACACUGACGCUGAGGUGCGAAAGCGUGGGUAGCAAACAGGAUUAGAUACCCGGUAGUC
rnacentral:rRNA from 1 species